ensembl:lncRNA LINC01102 long intergenic non-protein coding RNA 1102
CCUUUUUUUUUUUUUUUUUUUUUUUUUGAGAUAGAGUCUCCUCUGUCACCCAGGCUGGAGUGCAACAGCACGAUCCCAGCUCACUGCAACCUCCACCUCCUGAGUUCAAGCGUUUCUCUCGCCUCAGCCUCCCGAGUAGCUGGGAUUACAGGCACCCGCCAUCAUGUCCAGCUAAUUUUUGUAUAUUUGUAGAGACGGGGUUUCACCAUGUUGGCCAGACUGGUCUUGAACUCCUGACCUCAGGUGAUCUGCCCGCCUCAGCCUCCCAAAGUGCUAGGAUUACAAGUGUGAGCCACCACGCCCGGCCCCAAUAUUCUUUCUUACUAGACACUGUGUAAGCUAAUUAUUCAGCAAGUAUUUUGCACUGAACUCUAAAUAGACGAGGGAACUGAGCUGUCAAAACUAAGUGACUUGAUUGAGGCCAUGCAGCUGGCGAGGGGAGGACCAGGAUCUGAACCCAACUGGGUCUCCCAAGCCUGGGCCACUGAACCAUUUCACCUCUUGGAAAAACUUAAUGGUCAGAGUGGCCCACCCAGUCCAUGGACAGCAUGGAGGAUAAACUGCUUCCCUAGAAAUCCUCUCCAGCAUUCUUGCCACCACGACUUUGGGACACAUUGACCAUGAGGAGGAGCUGGUCAAUGAUGGACAGGAGUCCAGAUUAGCAGAGAUGUGGUAAUAAGGACACCGAUGCCUAAAUACUUGAAAUAUCCAAUAGGAAGCAUUCCACCUUUGUGCAAAUGCGAACCACAUCUCACCAAGUUCAGGCCAAGGCUGCCACCGGUGACGUUUUGGAAAAGAAAAAAAAAAGCGGGGGGAGAGGAGAGAAACAGAGAAGCAAGGAAUGCAGAAGAGAGCAGAGGCCACAAAAACAGCAGCAACGUGUCCUGUGUAUUCUGUUUCCUUGUAAAACUAUGAAGCAUGUUAAGGAGAUACUUCAUUUUUUGAGGAUUCAUACUCUUGUUUAUAUUAUAAUAAAAACAACCCAUGUUCUUUCUAAAAAUUUAGGCAAUGCCUUCGUGCACAUAAAAGUAAAACAAAAUCACCUGUAAUCCUACCACACGCAGAUCAGCACUUGCUAAUCUUUUCACAGGGAUCCUAAGAAUAUCCUAUUCUCUAUAGAAUAUAGUUGAUUUAUGUUACCUAAUAACUAACUGUUAACCAUUUUAAAAUUCUUCAGUUUUACAUUAUGCUAGAAAAAAGGAGCCGUCACUCUACGUGACAUUUCUGUAUAUUGGUUUAUUCAUUCAAUAAACAUUUUUUAAGUACCUA